AGAGAGAUGAGAGAGAUCUUUAGAGAGAGAAAGGAGAGAGUUCCCACGCGUGCAUGUGUGUGUCGUGUGUAUGGUCGGCUGAGGAAGAAGAAGAGGUCAACACUUCUCUUUUGUCAACACCACAGCACUAUUCAUUUCGGGCAGCUUGAAAUCUGAUAUCUUUCGUCGGAGCUCCCUGAAUAUCCGUUUGAGCUCAAAUUUGACAGUCAUGUUUGGUUUUACUUAAUGAGUCCAAAGAAAUUUUAAUAUUUUAGUUUCGACCCCGUUUGGUCACCGAAAACUGUACCGAACUGUAAUCUUUAUCAGAUAGCUGUCGAAUUUUAUUUUCCACCUUCUGGGUGUCAGAAUGAUAUGAAACUUUAAAUCUGGUCUCAUAAAAAUAAUUCUGACUUAUCCUCCAGUUUUCAUAAUUUUCUAAAACUGUGCAUUUUUUGCUAAUUUAUCUGUCCCGUUUCCAACAGAAAAUUCUAAAUUUUCUAUUUUCAUUCCGAUUUCAGCACAAGUCACUUCUGACUUAUGUUUUACUCCUCUAAAUCCAAUAAAAAUAGUAUCUCACACUAUUUUUAUUUAUUUUUAUUUUUAUACCAAAAUCUAGUAUGUUACAUUCUCCACCCCUUAAAAGAAUUUCGUCCGCGAAAUUCAAACCACACAUCAAUUCAGCUCCGUGAGCAAUUGAGGGUACCAA
rnacentral:lncRNA from 1 species